UACAGAGGUCUCAAGCGUUGUUCGGAUUCAUUGGGCGUAAAGCGCACGUAGGCGGUUUCUUAAGUCAGGGGUGAAAUCCUGGAGCUCAACUCCAGAACUGCCUUUGAUACUGGGAGACUCGAGUCCGGGAGAGGUGAGUGGAACUGCGAGUGUAGAGGUGAAAUUCGUAGAUAUUCGCAAGAACACCAGUGGCGAAGGCGGCUCACUGGCCCGGUACUGACGCUGAGGUGCGAAAGCGUGGGGAGCAAACGGG
rnacentral:rRNA from 1 species